GGGCGUAAAGCGUACGCAGGCGGUUGAUUAAGCGAGAUGUGAAAUCCCUGGGCUCAACCCAGGAACUGCAUUUCGAACUGGUCAACUAGAGUAUGAGAGAGGGUGGUAGAAUUUCAGGUGUAGCGGUGAAAUGCGUAGAGAUCUGAAGGAAUACCGAUGGCGAAGGCAGCCACCUGGCUCAAUACUGACGCUCAUGUACGAAAGCGUGGGGAGCAAACGGGAUUAGAUACCCCGGUAGUCCACGCCGUAAACGAUGUCUACUAGCAGCUCGGUUCUUUAGAACAGUUUUGCGCAGCUAACGCGUUAAGUAGACCGCCUGGGGAGUACGGCCGCAAGGUUAAAACUCAAAUGAAUUGACGGGGGCCCGCACAAGCGGUGGAGCAUGUGGUUUAAUUCGAUGCAACGCGAAGAACCUUACCAUCCCUUGACAUCCAGAGAAUUUGCUAGAGAUAGCUUAGUGCCUUCGGGAGCUCUGAGACAGGUGCUGCAUGGCU
rnacentral:rRNA from 1 species